CUCUCUGAUAGUCAGAGAUCCUCAGACCUCAUCAAAUGAGCUGAUCAUCAUGUUUGCUGCCCGUGUACUUCAUAUCAUGGCUGCCCUUGCUGUGGUAGCCACAUUUGCUGCUGCUGAUGUGAUGCAGCCUAUAGCUGUAAAUUCUCCUCCUGUUCCACUGUGGUAGAGGCCUUUGAAUUCUUAGAUUGAAGAAUUCAUCACUGGAGCAGAACCACUAAAGGAGCCGUCUUUUUACUCCUCCCUGUUUAACAAUGGCUCCAAUUCUGUUUCACCAAGUUCAAGAAUAAAAUCUGCUUGCAAGUC